rnacentral:rRNA from 1 species
GUCUAUGGCCAUGCCACUCUGAACGUGCCCGAUCUCGUCUGAUCUCGGAAGCUAAGCAGGGUCGGGCCCGGUUAGUACUUGGAUGGGAGACCACCUAGGAAGACCAGGUGCUGUAGGUG